rnacentral:sRNA from 1 species
UGAUACAGGAGUGAAAGAGGUCAUGCGAGCAUGAAAAAGUAGACCAAUAGGGCAAAUUUUGAAUGUUUUUAGAAUUUCGGGAGCACAAAGUGCGUAGAAAUCUGUAGUGUCA